rnacentral:rRNA from 1 species
GUGGCAUACGGCUCAGUAACACGUAGUCAACAUGCCCAGGGGACGUGGAUAACCUCGGGAAACUGAGUCUAAACCGCGAUAAGUGAGGAUUUCUGGAAUGGUUCCUGACUAAAAUCUAUAUGGCCUCUGGAUUGGACUGCGGCCGAUCAGGCUGUUGGUGAGGUAAUGGCCCACCAAACCUGUAACCGGUACGGGCUCUGAGAGGAGGAGCCCGGAGAUGGGCACUGAGACAAGGGCCCAGGCCCUAUGGGGCGCAGCAGGCGCGAAACCUCUGCAAUAGGCGAAAGCCUGACAGGGUUACUCUGAGUGACUUUCGCUAAGAAAGUCUUUUGGCACCUCUAAAAAGGGUGCAGAAUAAGGGGUGGGCAAGUCUGGUGUCAGCCGCCGCGGUAAUACCAGCACCCCGAGUGGUCGGGACGAUUAUUGGGCCUAAAGCAUCCGUAGCCGGUUCUGCAAGUCCCCCGUUAAAUCCAGCUGCUCAACAGAUGGGCCGCGGAGGAUACUACAGAGCUAGGAGGCAGGAGAGGCAAGCGGUACUCAGUGGGUAGGGGUAAAAUCCGUUGAUCCAUUGAAGACCACCAGUGGCGAAGGCGGCUUGCCAGAAUGCGCUCGACGGUGAGGGAUGAAAGCUGGGGGAGCAAACCGGAUUAGAUACCCGGGUAGUCCCAGCUGUAAACGAUGCAGACU